UACGGAGGGUGCAAGCGUUAUCCGGAUUCACUGGGUUAAAGGGUGCGUAGGUGGUUUGUAAGUCAGUGGUGAAAGCCCGGAGCUUAACUCCGGAACUGCCAUUGAUACUGCUUAACUUGAAUCAACUUGAGGUGGAUGGAAUAUUACAUGUAGCGGUGAAAUGCUUAGAUAUGUAAUAGAACACCGAUUGCGAAGGCAGUUCACUAAGGUUGUAUUGACACUGAGGCACGAAAGCGUGGGGAUCAAACAGG
rnacentral:rRNA from 1 species